AACAUCCAAAAACCAUUGAGAAGAAGUCUUUGAGAAAAGGGUCAAAGUAAACUUUCUUCUUCUUCUGAAACUUCUUCAUCUUUCUAUGUGCCUCUUAUUGUUAAGGACUAUUCUUGAUUUUUUCUUACAGGUAAUUUUCUCACAAUGGAUUUCUCGUGCUUUCAGAUAUGACAUGAUUUGAGCUUUUGUUUGAAGUUUUUGGAGUAAAAUUGAUUGUUUUUAGCGAAUUUGAGGCAAAUUGGGAAAUUUCUGAGUUUUAGAGGGUGAAACGGCUAUCUUUUGAAUUCAAGCUAACAUUUGUUUGAGCACUUGUGGAAACUCAUGAUGGGCCACAAUCUCUUUUAACAAUUCUCUAGCAAAUUUAUGUGUUUUGAAAGUGAUCCAGAGCUGGGACUUGAAUGGAAAUGUGUAUUCGCAAAGAAUUUGUAUGAUCAGGUGGGAGCUGCUUCAGUUGAAUUUAUCGAAGGAAAUCAAGGUGAUAACACUUUUGGCUGGUUGUAUGCGUAUGUUGGGAAUCUGAUAAGUUGAUCUUCCCUGUCCUUAAGGAUUUGUCACUUAUAGUUGAGCUUCGCCUUGUGAGUUUCAUUUCAAGGGGUUGUGAUUUGGAUUUGAACUUACCAUGGAUGAAGCUCCUUGCAGCGUCAAUGCACUGCCUCCGUUUAUUGCAAAGAUAUAUGAAAUGGUGGAUGACCCCUCCACUGAUCCAAUAGUCUCAUGGAGUUCAAAUAAUAAAAGUUUUAUUGUUCUUAAUCCUCCUGAUUUUGCAAGAGAUUUGUUGCCCAGAUACUUUAAGCACAAUAAUUUUUCCAGCUUUAUCCGACAGCUAAACACUUACGGAUUCAAGAAAAUAGAUCCCGAACAAUGGGAAUUUGCAAAUGAGGAUUUUCUUAGAGGUCAGCCACACCUUUUGAAGAAUAUCUAUAGACGGAAACCUGUUCACAGUCAUUCUGUACAGAAUAUUCAUAUCCUUUCAUCAUCUGCAUUGACUGAAUCGGAAAGACAAGGGUAUAAGGAAGAUAUUGAAAAGUUGAAGCAUGAGAACGAAUCGCUUCAUUUAGUACUACACAGACAUAAACAGGAUCAUCAAGGACUUGAAAUGCAAAUGCAGGUCCUUAACCAACGUGUCCAACAAGUGAAAGACCGACAAAAGAACGUGCUGUCUACUUUAGCUCGAACCAUAAAUAAACCAGGAUUAGCUUUGAGUCUCAUGCCACAACUGGAAAUGAAUGAAAGGAAGAGAAGGUUGCCAGGAAACAGUUUUCUUUACAAUGAAACAGGCCUUGAAGAUAAUCAAGCGAGUUCUUCUGAAAAUUCGACUAGGGAAAAUAUGGACCCAACUUCUCUUUUGACUCUCAACAAGGAAGUGCUAGAUCAGUUGGAACCUUCUUUGACCUUUUGGGAGUAUACACUGCGUGACAUUGAUCAAGCUAGAAUGAGACAGAGCUCUUCAAUAGACUUGGAUGAAUCUAUCAGUUGUGCCGAUAGCCCUGCUAUAUCUUACCCACAACUAACUGUUGAUGUUGGAUCUAAGGUUUCUGAUAUUGACAUGAACUCUGAGCCUAAUGGAAACACUACUCCUGAUGUUACUCCACCAGAAAACCGAGUAGAGACUGCUAGUAAUAAUGUGCCAACAGGAGUAAAUGAUGUAUUCUGGGAACAAUUCCUUACUGAGAACCCUGGUUCUACUGAUGUAAAGCCGGAAAGGGAAGAUAUGGAGAGCAAAAUAAGUGAAUCCAAGACAGUUGAGGAUGGGAAAUUUUGGUGGAACAGGAAGACUGUAAUUAGCCUUACAGAACAGUUGGGACAUCUUACUCCAGCAGAGAGAAUGUAAUGUGGCAGGGUAUGUACUAUUUUUGAUAGUAAAUGUUUUUUUGCCUGUUUCUUGUUGUAAAUUUAGAGAAAGUGAUUUGUCAGAGUACAUAGAAUUUUGGUAUAUUAACCUUCUUUUUUUGUUUUUACCUUGUUCAGCAUGACAUGAUAUAGUGAAUGAUAGAGUCGAUCAGUAGUAAUGCUAGUCUGGCACAAUUUCAUGUUUUAUGUAGUUAUAUUCUUUCCGGCCUUGCCUGUCCAUGUUACCGAUUUGUGUUACAUAAGGGUGUUCAGUUGUUUCAUGCUAUCAGUAGAAACACACGACGUGUGUAAUACUGUCUAUACUGAUUCUGGAUAUGUCAUGGUUGCGGAUAUCUUGUAUGGUUCUCGAUCUGUUAGCAUUUAAACUAAUUCCUCCUGGCCCUUAAGAAUGGUUUACCAGAGCUCGGGUAGAUUCCUAUGAGGUAAUAGUUGCUGCUCUACGCGUUCAGUAGCUCAGACGUUCUUGAUUGUUAAAAUGUUUGUUCACUGUACACACUGAUAUAUGUAUUGCUUCUUCUUUAGACAAUCAAUUGUGUCAAUUUAUUCUGUUUGA